rfam:Methanosarcina acetivorans str. C2A, complete genome.
UGCCCUUUUCAUUUGGGGUAAUCCCACCGGAAUGUGCGUCCGGUAAUGCUGAUGUGCAAAGCUUCUGGAUAAUGUGGAGACCUCUGAAAACCCGGAUCAAACAGUUUGCUAGAGUAGGAUAGGAAAAAUCCCAGAAAACUGUUUGCCAAAUAAUAGAGGAAGAC